CAACAAAAUAGCGGAGACUGCAACAACAACAGAUGGCUGGAGUAUACAUAAUGGAGUGUACUUUCAUACGCGUACGCUACAAAAAUGAAGUGUACUUUGGGCUUUGUGAGAAGGACAAGUAAAGCAGACAACUCACCAGGAAAGACUGAAAGGAGAUAGAAUGUGAUUAAAAACUGUUACUGUCUGCAGAGCAUGAACACACGUAGAAGGAGUCACCACGCAAUGCCUAGGCAUGCAUUUUUUUAGAGAUGGGACGUUUGACACUGAGGCUCUGAAGCCUGUUUUACUGUAGCCUAUUGAAGCAGACUGCUUCGAAAGACUGUCCCUGCAUUCCAUUCGGAAGGGCUCAUCCCUAUGCCCUAAUCCCUUCAAAGGGUUUACCCUCCGGAGUGAGAGCUUCGAAGGGUUGAAGGGUGUAGGGGACCAAACAACUUCUUGAAGUGCCCUUCUGCGUCAUCAUCCCGUGCCCACACGGAGGCGCCGUCAUCAUGCAAAGAAUCAGCACAAAGGAUCAUGGGAAGCCGAAGUGUCCAUCAGUUGUACCCUUCGAAAUCUUUUAUUCCAAAGGGCUAUUUGAAGAGGCCAGUUUUGAGCACUUCGGUUUGGAACGACCCUUCAAUAUGACGGCCAUGAUUGUUUUCACUCCGAAGUGCCCUUUUUUCUCUGGCCGGUGUCAAUACGGAGAAUUACCCUUAUUAACACUGUUGAGUGUUUUUAGUGACAUCCGGGACAUUUUCUCGUGUGCGAACCUAAUCCGUCUGAAAUAUUUUUCACAGACGCCAUUUUCUUUGCUCGCGAUGCAGAGCAUAUUAGGACGGAAAACAGCGAAAUAAAGUGUUUAAUCCUACUCACAAAGUGUGUUUUGUAAUAUCAUAUCGUUUUAUAAUUAUUUCAAUGUGUUGUGUGCGCCUAAACGUUUAUCAGUGGCAUUUCCUUUCACUCGCGAUGCGGAACAGACGAGGACUUUUCUAAAAGGGAAAAUCUGAAAACGGGGAAGUUGGUUUUAACAAGGAAAACACUGAAAAGAGAUAUUUUCGUUCACUCGUGAUGCUCCGGAGCAGAUGAGGAAGUUGGUUUUAACAAGGAAGGCGCCAAAAAUGGUUCAUGCUGGCUUAACAGAAAAAUCAAAAGAAGAUGAUGUGCUUGAAGAGUAUGAAGCCACCAAUACAUGGGAGUCGUCCAACCUCAAUGCAGAGAGAUCAGUAUGCACUUGGAAUUGUGACUUUGUCUCUGUCGUUAGAAGACCCAUUUUCUAGGGCAGUUUUGUGAUGCUGUAAAUAGGAGUGGAUAUCUUGCUUGGCUGAAAACUGCAGAGAAAAGCAUCUCAUCAUGUUGAAAAAAAGAAUGAGAGUAUUCUCUCCAAGGAGGUCCAAACACCAGCACAGACUUUGAUUAGUGAGCAUUAACAUGCAUUCAGCUUUUAUGGUAAUGAAUGGAAUGCUGUUGUUUAACCUCCUAAAUGUCAGCAUUAUAAACCUUAUGAUAUCAA